GUGCCGACUCUUCCACCUCCUUGAGGUAGUUGGGGAGUAUUUAAAGGGACAGUGUCUCAUCAAACUUACCAGCAAGCUUCCCGGGGGAAUGAGUCUCUGUGAAAACUCCUCCAGCACGCGUCCUAGAAACAAUUAACUCCAGUAGAUGGACACCUCUCGGGGAAGAUGGCUGGUCACCAAGGCAUAAGGCAGGGUAAGAAGAUUCUGAAAACGGCCUCAGUGUCCAAGCCUCGUUGCGCUUUUCUUCUGCUUGCACGAAUCGGCACUGGCUCACUGCAGAAUAUUAACCAGUUCCGUGCCCGUUUCCAAGUCGGUUCUGCUGUCCGGCCGUUCCGGGAGUCCUGGCAUCACUCCCAGCUUCCUGGUGCAGACUCCGGAGUCCUCUCUUCCG